ACACAUGCAAGUCGAGGGGCAGCAUGGUCUUAUCUUGCUAAGGCCGAUGGCGACCGGCGCACGGGUGAGUAACACGUAUCCAACCUGCCGUCUACUCUUGGACAGCCUUCUGAAAGGAAGAUUAAUACAAGAUGGCAUCAUGAGUCCGCAUGUUCACAUGAUUAAAGGUAUUCCGGUAGACGAUGGGGAUGCGUUCCAUUAGAUAGUAGGCGGGGUAACGGCCCACCUAGUCUUCGAUGGAUAGGGGUUCUGAGAGGAAGGUCCCCCACAUUGGAACUGAGACACGGUCCAAACUCCUACGGGAGGCAGCAGUGAGGAAUAUUGGUCAAUGGGCGAGAGCCUGAACCAGCCAAGUAGCGUGAAGGAUGACUGCCCUAUGGGUUGUAAACUACUUUUAUAAAGGAAUAAAGUCGGGUAUGGAUACCCGUUUGCAUGUACUUUAUGAAUAAGGAUCGGCUAACUCCGUGCCAGCAGCCGCGGUAAUACGGAGGAUCCGAGCGUUAUCCGGAUUUAUUGGGUUUAAAGGGAGCGUAGAUGGAUGUUUAAGUCAGUUGUGAAAGUUUGCGGCUCAACCGUAAAAUUGCAGUUGAUACUGGAUAUCUUGAGUGCAGUUGAGGCAGGCGGAAUUCGUGGUGUAGCGGUGAAAUGCUUAGAUAUCACGAAGAACUCCGAUUGCGAAGGCAGCCUGCUAAGCUGCAACUGACAUUGAGGCUCGAAAGUGUGGGUAUCAAACAGGAUUAGAUACCCUGGUAGUCCACACGGUAAACGAUGAAUACUCGCUGUUUGCGAUAUACUGCAAGCGGCCAAGCGAAAGCGUUAAGUAUUCCACCUGGGGAGUACGCCGGCAACGGUGAAACUCAAAGGAAUUGACGGGGGCCCGCACAAGCGGAGGAACAUGUGGUUUAAUUCGAUGAUACGCGAGGAACCUUACCCGGGCUUAAAUUGCAGAUGAAUUACGGUGAAAGCCGUAAGCCGCAAGGCAUCUGUGAAGGUGCUGCAUGGUUGUCGUCAGCUCGUGCCGUGAGGUGUCGGCUUAAGUGCCAUAACGAGCGCAACCCUUGUUGUCAGUUACUAACAGGUUCCGCUGAGGACUCUGACAAGACUGCCAUCGUAAGAUGUGAGGAAGGUGGGGAUGACGUCAAAUCAGCACGGCCCUUACGUCCGGGGCUACACACGUGUUACAAUGGGGGGUACAGAGGGCCGCUACCACGCGAGUGGAUGCCAAUCCCCAAAACCUCUCUCAGUUCGGACUGGAGUCUGCAACCCGACUCCACGAAGCUGGAUUCGCUAGUAAUCGCGCAUCAGCCACGGCGCGGUGAAUACGUUCCCGGGCCUUGUACACACCGCCCGUCAAGCCAUGGGAGCCGGGGGUACCUGAAGUGCGUAACCGCGAGGAGCGCCCUAGGGUAAAACUGGUGACUGGGGCUAAAUC
rnacentral:rRNA from 1 species